rnacentral:rRNA from 1 species
ACGGCUACCUUGUUACGACUUCACCCCAAUUAUCGAACCCACCUUCGGCCGCGCCCCCCUUGCGGUUAGGCUACGGACUUCGGGUGUUCCCGACUCUCAUGGUGUGACGGGCGGUGUGUACAAGGCCCGGGAACGUAUUCACCGCGGCAUGCUGAUCCGCGAUUACUAGCGAUUCCGACUUCACGCAGUCGAGUUGCAGACUGCGAUCUGAACUGGGACGGCUUUUAGGGGUUCGCUCCACCUCACGGUAUCGCAUCCCUCUGUUAACCGCCAUUGUAUUACGUGUGUAGCCCAGGACAUAAGGGGCAUGAUGAUUUGACGUCGUCCCCACCUUCCUCCGUUUUGUCAACGGCAGUCUCGCUAGAGUGCUCUUGCGUAGCAACUAACAAUAAGGGUUGCGCUCGUUGCGGGACUUAACCCAACAUCUCACGACACGAGCUGACGACAACCAUGCACCACCUGUCUCUGCUUUCCCCGAAAGGCACCUGACGUAUCUCU